rnacentral:lncRNA from 1 species
AUGGCAGAGAGGUGGCAGAUCCCUGAAUCCUACAAGGUAAGGGAAAUUGAAGAGCUUGACCUUGGAAGUUUCAAAAGACAGGAGAAUGAGCUAUCAGAAGUCCAGGUGUCUGGAAUUAAGCUCAUGUGGGAUUUUGCAACCACCCUAGCAGCAACGACCAAGAGAGGUACAAGAUGGCACAGUGGACAUUAGACCUGAAGUCAGAAAGAUCUCUAUGGUGGCUACCAGGCAAAUAUUUCCUAGUUUGGCCAUAAACAGAUUUUCAUCUACUAAUCUAUGAUCUCAGCCACAAAUAUUCUAACAUUAAAAUUGAAAGACUAAUGAAAUGGAGACAUGAUCUGAUAAUCAUAAGAGAAUUCAUACCACAAGUCAAAUAGUCAUUCCCACUAUAUUUAAGACUUCAUAUCAGUUUUAUUUUCACAAUGUUCUUGAAACUCUUGAUAAGUAAGACUUCAUGGAGGGAUGUUUUGCAUUACUAGGGAUAUUUGUUACAAGGGUUUUGUUUUUCUAAUGGGGGUAGAUUGAGGAGCAUAGGGGAGAUGAUGGAAGAGAAAGAAAAUAAAUAUAAAUAUUUCAUUUUAAAAAAUACUUCA